AAAAGUAUUUGAAAAGGAAUAUACAUGUUCACGUGUAUAUAUGUGAAUAUGUAUAUAUAUGUUAUACAUGUUCAGUUAUACACACACACACAUAUGUAUAUGUAAUGGGAUGGCUGUGUUAUACACUUGAAACAAUACUGUGAAUCAACUAUACUUCAAUUAAAAACAAUUAUUUUCUAAAUGUGGGCAAAUAUUGGCUCGUCUAUUCUCAGGACACAGUUAUGUCAAUGGCUUGAUUUUUAUCUUUGGCUUGAUUUGUAUCUAAAUUCUAUGUAGAGUGGACAUUGCUUCCUUGGGCUCAGAGAGAAGCGGACUCAAGACCAGACUGGCCCUCACAUGGAAAGCUUGAGGAAGGUGGUCCCACCCCCACCCCAUCCUGAGGCUCAGGCUCCAGACUGAAAAGCGGGAGGAAAACUGACUUGGGGAUCUUCUCAGCUGUCCUCCAGGGCAGCAGCUGCCUGCACACCAAGCAAGGAAAGCUUCUGACCUCGCUUUUGGCCUCCAUGGAAGAGGAGGUCCUGACCCAUUCAUGUCUGAUCAAUGGGUCAAGAUCAAGGGCAGUGGCCUGUCCUGGUCUAUGGCCCUGUGAAGUCAGAGGCCCAGUGACAUAGCUGGUCCACCGUCAGGACAGUCUAAACAGCCGAGGUUACAUGAACUCCCUGUUCACCAGGCGUUUCUCUCCUAAGUUAAACAAGCUAUGACCAAGCAAGUGGACUCUGUCAACAGUAAGAACCCAUCUGUUACUACUCACCACUUACGGACAGCGACUUGUCCUAGGUAAUGGGGUUGGUGAGUCACAGAGCCAGGGAUAAACACAGGCUGUCCAGCUCAGCAGAAGAUAAACGAUUGAAACUUGGAGCCCUGGUCAAACUAUGUGUCUCUGCUCUGAAGGAACCAGAAUCAGUUUUCCAACCACAUCUCCUUAAAUUCCCAAACGAGGACAUGAAGAAGUGAUUCAGCGAGGGGACACUGUCUGGGAUAUUGACCACUAACUGUAAGCGAGGUCGAGCCAUAUUCCCAACAUUUUGUAUGCAUUACCUCAUCGAACCCUCAUAACUCUUUGAGGCAGCAAAAUUAUAAUCCCAUUGUACAGAUAAAUAAAACCAAUAUAUGGAGAAGUUAAGUAACUUCCCAAGUCACAGAGAGAUUCAAGAGUAUCCAGCCGAGACUCAAAUUGAUCUCGGGUAGCCUUGGCCUGCAGCAGCUUGAAGCAAGCAGAGAUUUUGUUCUUGGCCAGAGACUGAGGUUGGGUCAUGACCGCGAGAGCGCUGAAUCCUAGCCCCUAGACCAAAGGUCAGCAACAAGGCCUUGGCCCUUCAGCUUUGCAGAAAAGAAUUCCCACAAGACAGUAAGUAGUGCAACAAGUAAAGUAUUUAUUAGGAGGAAAAGAGUACAGUACCUGUUGGUAGACACAUGGGCAGACUUAGUGGGAGAGUCACGCCCUCAUGGGUGUUUGAAUCACUUUUAAGGGGCAUUUCUUCCAAGUUUCCUUGACCAAUGAUUUUGAUUUGCCUGUUUCAGAGUCUGUAUUUUGUAUAACUCAGGAUCCUCCUAUAGCUAUGUGUUCAUCUCUCAGCCAAGAUGGAUUCAGGCGAAGAGGCCUAUGGGUAGGUUGACAUCACUCCCUUUUGACCUCCAACGAUACUUUCUGUACAUGUGCAUUUGGCUAGGUCUCCUGACUUUAAGAAUGAGAAAUACGUGGUCUCGUCUAUCUGGGCAGGGCCCAUCCUCCUCUCUAGAGUGUCCUGCUGUUCUCAUCUUAGAGAAUCAGUCCAGAAGGAAUGAAUCUCCAGCUGCUUUCCCUUGAGGGGGCCCAGUUACGUCCAGGAGGCUACCUGCUCCUUUUCUUCAGUUAGUGUUAUCUGGUACUAUCUCCAUGCUGGGGCCAUGAUGCACUCUUGACCCGCAUUAUCUAACGGCAGCCCUAUGAGAUAACACCGUAAGUAUCCCCAUUUUCCAUGUGAGAUUCUGAGGACUCUCAGUUAAAAACCAUGCCCAUAUGCCCACCACUGUCAGUCAGCUUCGAGCAUCCAACCAUUAAAUAUGAGUGAACAGCCAAGGAUCAGCAGGCAUCAGAAAAAGCCUUGUAGUAAGAAAAACAGAAGUCAAAGCAAACUAAGCAAGAAUAAAAAUGUAUAAAAAGGAAGAAAAGAAAGCUUAAAAAAAAAAAACUUUGUGAAUUUCUUCAGAACAAAAUAAGAGAAGAUAUUCUAUCCAUAAAAUAAGAACAAUGUUUUAAAAGAAGUUUUCCUGAGACAAAUGUUGUGUUUAAACUUAAUAUAUAAUAGGAGAAAAAAUGUUAAUUUCUGAAAGGUUUUGAAGUUAAAAUUGAGAAAAUGUCCCAGAAAUUAAAAAGGAAAAAUAAGAGGAAAAAAUCAUAAGAAAUUUAUAGGUGCUGAUUAAGAGUUGAGGAAAAAAGCUGAGAAAAUAAAGAAUAUAACACUAAGGAAAUUAUGCAUAUAAAUUUCCCCAAGUCUCAAAAUGAGUUUCCAAAUUAAGAACCCCAGGAUGCCUGAAAAAUGUGCUGAGACACAUUACCACAGUGUUUCAGAACACUGGAGCUAAGGGUCAAGAACUGGAAUGACUUUAAAGUUGUUAAGAGCAAUACUAGAAGGUAGGAGAAAACAGAACGAAAUGCCUGCAGAGUUUUGAAGGGAAGUUAUUUCUUAUCUAGAUACCUACGCAUAGCUGUUUGUUAAGUAUGAGAGUUCUUCUGGAAGGAGAAAUUUCCUCUGUCCUUCUACGUAUCAAACAAAAGUUUAAUAACAUACACAGGAGAGGGGUUUCUCUGGUGGCUCAGUGGUAAAGAAUCUGCCUGCCAAUGCAGUAGACAUGGGGUUCAAUCCA